rnacentral:miRNA from 1 species
AUUGGCACCUCUUAGACCGGCU